rnacentral:rRNA from 1 species
AGGACGAACGCUGGCGGCGUGCUUAACACAUGCAAGUCGAGCGGAAAGGCCCUUCGGGGUACUCGAGCGGCGAACGGGUGAGUAACACGUGAGUAAUCUGCCCCUAGCUCUGGGAUAGCUCCGGGAAACCGGGAUUAAUACCAGAUACGACCACUUUAGACAUCUGUUGUGGUGGAAAGAAUUUGGCUAGGGAUGAGCUCGCGGCCUAUCAGCUUGUUGGUGAGGUAACGGCUCACCAAGGCGACGACGGGUA